rnacentral:rRNA from 1 species
GCCAACGUCCAUACCACGUUGAAAACACCUUCUCGUCCGAUCACCGAAGUUAAGCAACGUCGGGCGCGGUCAGUACUUGGAUGGGUGACCGCCUGGGAACACCGCGUGACGUUGGCU